rnacentral:rRNA from 1 species
GACGAACGCUGGCGGCGUGCCUAAUACAUGCAAGUAGAACGCUGAAGAGAGGAGCUUGCUCUUCUUGGAUGAGUUGCGAACGGGUGAGUAACGCGUAGGUAACCUGCCUGGUAGCGGGGGAUAACUAUUGGAAACGAUAGCUAAUACCGCAUAAAAUGGAUUAUCGCAUGAUAAUCCAUUGAACGGUGCAAAUGCAUCACUACCAGAUGGACCUGCGUUGUAUUAGCUAGUUGGUGGGGUAACGGCUCACCAAGGCGACGAUACAUAGCAGACCUGAGAGGGUGAUCGGCCACACUGGGACUGAGACACGGCCCAGACUCCUACGGGAGGCAGCAGUAGGGAAUCUUCGGCAAUGGACGGAAGUCUGACCGAGCAACGCCGCGUGAGUGAAGAAGGUUUUCGGAUCGUAAAGCUCUGUUGUAAGAGAAGAACGAGUGUGAGAGUGGAGAGUUCACACUGUGACGGUAUCUUACCAGAAAGGGACGGCUAACUACGUG